rnacentral:lncRNA from 1 species
AAAACAAUAAAACGUAAGGAGUUAUUUUGGACAAAUUAAAAUGCCUGGCAGGAGAUUCUCAAGAGUUCAACCUAUACACGAAUAUCAAGUGUUAAAUAAUGCUGUGGUUAAGACAAAAAAGAGGACGGAGCCAGGGUAUGAAUAUAAAUGGUGCCCUACUUUGAACCUCAUUGGGCAGAUCAAAGAUUUUUAAAAGGUUUUCUGAAGUUGCCCAGCGCCUAGAAUUUCAAGGACCGCAUUCGCUGCCUCCUUCCUAAAGAGGGUGCGUUUGUGGGGAAGGUGAGUGCGCGCGCGCGGAGGGAGGGCCGGCCGCGGAGAGGGGCCAAAACUCUUCGGAAUCAGCAGCCAGAGAGGCUCUGGGUAGCUAGGCGACCUGAAUGUCUUCCAUACCUGAACCCGCAGCCUGAAGAAGCUGAUAGCGGACCCCGAGCGCGCGCGCGCCUUGGCGGGAGCCCUGCGCCUCCCGGGGUCUCCCUGCUCCUUACUUGGACCUCGGGCGCAAGGUAGGUCCCCUCCGCGCAGAGCUGAAGCCGCGGCGGGCGGCCCACGGGGGAUCAGACCCUCGGGCAUCCGCGUUUCCCCUCCGCCGUCCGCCGGACCCCCACCUCUUCUCCAAGCUCCACUCCCGACUUUUCUUCCCCGCCCCCGGGAAGCUCUGGAAACCCGCACCCCCGGCUCUGAGGUCAGGGCUGGCAGGAGUAAUCCACCCUUUCCAGGUGUGUGGCGCAAACACGGACGCAAAGAUCUCCCCUAGGGUCUGUAACAAUUUCCAGGCUGAAAGGUGAUAACUCCUUCUCCUUCCAUAACAUACCUUCCCCCCGCCCCCACUUCCUUUACUAUCCUAACUUUGGGAGGAAUAUUGAUUCUUGAUCAAAGUAAAUGCACUGUCUUACCUUUGG